rnacentral:rRNA from 1 species
UACAGAGGGGGCAAGCGUUGUUCGGAAUUACUGGGCGUAAAGGGCGCGUAGGCGGCCUUCUAAGUCGAACGUGAAAUCCCCGGGCUCAACCCGGGAACUGCGUCCGAUACUGGAAGGCUUGAAUCCGGGAGAGGUGAGUGGAAUUCCGAGUGUAGAGGUGAAAUUCGUAGAUAUUCGGAAGAACACCAGUGGCGAAGGCGGCUCACUGGACCGGUAUUGACGCUGAUGUGCGAAAGCGUGGGGAGCAAACAGG